GCCAGAAACAGCAACCCUUCUGGGUCCCCUUCCACCACGCAGAAGCUUUACUUUCGCUUUCACUUUACUUUUGCUUUCACUUUAACAAAUCUUGCAGCCGCACACUCUUUGGGUCCGCCCGUUUCUCUAAUCAAGUUGUAACACUCGCUGCUGUGGUCCACAGCUUCAUUCCUUGAAGCCCGUGAGACACGAACGCUUCCAUUGAGAAAAACCUUCCAUCAGAAGAAGACUUCUCGUCUCAGUGGGACUGCUGAGUUGAAUGAGACGAGGUUUCACCAUGUUACCCAAGCUGAUCUCGAACUCCUGGGUUCAUGCGAUCCACCUGACUCAGCCUCACAAAGUGGUAGGACUACAGGUGCUUUUUUUUCUGAAGCUUUGGUAGUGUAACUGUAAGAGUCCUGGAAUUGGAAAAGCAAAUCCAGAAGUUGAGUUCCAUGACUUUUUUGCUGUUUGCCUUUGGACUUGCAUCAUUUAUAUUUUUAAUUCAUCGAGGAUGAGAAAAUUGAUUAACACAAAAUCUUUUCAUGUCUUUUCUGAUGAGAGACUAGCUGAAUCCAAGAAGAGAAGCCCUUGAAGAGUGUAUUCUAUUCUAGACAAGCAUUCACACAUUGGCUUCUUUGGUGCCAGAUUAAAGAAUGAAGAAAGGAUCAAAUUGAGACAUCCAGGGGGGAAGAGUUCCCUGGCAAAACUCCAAUCUGCCUGAGCACUGAGGUGGAGCCACAGAAGUCCGGGUCAUUUGCACCUGGGAGGAGCCUGGCCCCUCCUCUUCCUGUGUGGAAUCUGGGAUUUAAUCUGUGAGGAGGGAAGGCCAAGGGCAGGAAGCACAGGCUCUCACUUCACUAAGAGUCUCUGUUUCCCCUUUUUUUCCUUUAUGCCUAAUUAAUAAAUCCCAUUUUUCUCACUCUUCAAAUAGUCUUCAAGCCUAAAUUUUCAUGACCAUGGAACAAGGACCCCAUCUUUAGCUGAACUAAGGAAAAGUCCUGCAACAAAAUUCUUUGCUAAAAAUACAUGAGGUUGCCUUUUCCUUCUUAAUCUUAAAAGAAAUAUAUUUCAAUGGUUAACGUUUUAGUAAUUCAAAAAUUAUCAAGCAUUUGUUCACAACCAUAAGAUGUGCAUUGUUUUAUAUUCCUACUUAAUAAUAGACUAUAAUUGUCUAAUUAGACUGCCGAUGUUGAUCUUUGUGGCUCAUUGCAUUGAUUAUAAGCAGUGUUUUGGGUUUGUGUGUGUGUGUCAAAUUUAGGGUUUUUUUGGUAUGGCUGCUGGUUGGUGUAGCCUGUAUCCAGUAUCCUGUAUUAAUUCUAAUAUUUGCAUUUUGAACAUAUUUACAAGUUGCUAAAAUAGCAAAGCUUCGAGAUGAGCCUGGCUGAUAUGGCAAAACCCCGUCUCUACUAAAAAUACAAAAAUUAGCCUGGUGUGGUGGUGCAUGCCUGUAAUCCCAGCUACUUGGAAGUCUGAGGCAGGAGAAUCUCUUGAACCCAGAAGGUGGAGGUUGCAGUGGGCCAAGAUCGCACCACUGCACUCCAGCCUCGGUGAUAGAGCGAGACUACGUCUCAAAAAUAAAAUAAAAUAAAAUAAAAUAAAAAUAGCAAAGCUAUGUAUGGUUUCUCUGAGUUUUGUAAUUUAUCAUUGUUAACUGCAGAAAUUUAUUAUAUGAGACAUAUUAUAUGAGACAUAUAAGUGAAUUUGGAUUGGGUUUAAUUUUAUAUUUUUGAAUAUAGUUCUUCAAGAUAAAUUUUAUCUUAGACCUCAAGAAAUAAAAAUAAAAUAAAUUAGAUAUACAAACGA
rnacentral:lncRNA from 10 species